GGCCCAGUGGCCUAAUGGAUAAGGCGCCAGCCUUUGGCGCUGGGGAUUGUGGGUUCAAGUCACACCUGGGUCA